GCUGGAAGUGACGAAGGCCGUAAAUUGUUCCUGCUUAUUGGAUUGCAGGGGCUGUGAAGGACUUCCUGGAAAUAACUCCAGCUUAUAGACCGUACCCCAAACCGACACAGGUGGGCUGGUAGAGUAUACCAAGGCGCUUGAGAGAAUGAUGUUGAAGGAACUCGGCAAAUUGCCCUCGUAACUUCGGAAGAAGAGGGCCCCAUUGAUGGGCAACCAUUGGUGGGGGGCACAGACCAGGGGGUGGCGACUGUUUAACAAAAACACAGGGCUCUGCGAAGUCUGUAAGACGACGUAUAGGGUCUGACGCCUGCCCGGUGCCGGAAGGUUAAGAGGAGGGGUGCAAGCUCUGAAUCGAAGCCCCGGUAAACGGCGGCCGUAACAAUAACGGUCCUAAGGUAGCGAAAUUCCUUGUCGGGUAAGUUCCGACCUGCACGAAUGGCGUAACGACUUCCCCGCUGUCUCCAACAUCAGCUCAGCGAAAUUGAAUUCCCCGUGAAGAUGCGGGGUACCCGCGGUCAGACGGAAAGACCCCAUGCACCUUUACUAUAGCUUUGCAGUGGUAUUAGGGAAUGAAUGUGUAGGAUAGGUGGGAGCCUAUGAAGCGCCGGCGCUAGUCGGUGUGGAGGCAACGUUGAAAUACCACCCUUUUGUUCUCUGAUAUCUAACCGCGCCCCGUGAAGCUGGGGCCGGGACCCUGCAUGGUGGGUAGUUUGACUGGGGCGGUCGCCUCCCAAAGAGUAACGGAGGCGCGCGAUGGUAGGCUCAAGCUGGUCGGAAAUCAGCUGUUGAGUGCAAUGGCAUAAGCCUGCCUGACUGCGAGACUGACAAGUCGAGCAGAGACGAAAGUCGGUCAUAGUGAUCCGGUGGUUCCACGUGGACGGGCCAUCGCUCAACGGAUAAAAGGUACGCUGGGGAUAACAGGCUGAUCUCCCCCAAGAGUCCAUAUCGACGGGGAGGUUUGGCACCUCGAUGUCGGCUCAUCACAUCCUGGGGCUGGAGCAGGUCCCAAGGGUAUGGCUGUUCGCCAUUUAAAGUGGUACGUGAGCUGGGUUCAGAACGUCGUGAGACAGUUCGGUCCCUAUCUGCCGUGGGUGUUGGAGUAUUGAGAGGAUUUGCCCCUAGUACGAGAGGACCGGGGUGAACGCACCUCUGGUGUACCGGUUGUCGCGCCAGCGGCAUCGCCGGGUAGCUAUGUGCGGACGGGAUAACCGCUGAAAGCAUCUAAGCGGGAAACCCACCUCAAAACUAGUACUCCCUAUGAGAGCCGUGAGAGACCAUCACGUUGAUAGGCCAGAUGUGGAAGCGCAGUAAUGCGUGCAGCUAACUGGUACUAAUUGCUCCAUUGGCC
rnacentral:rRNA from 1 species